UCCUACGGCGUCAUUUGGCUAGUAUGGAGCCGCUUCUUGGAGCAUCUCCUUAUCGUUGAUGUGUAAGAGAAAUUGGGAAGUGUAAAUGACAGAUUUAGCAUCUGCAGGUCCUGAUGUGCACUUGAUGAGCUUGUAUGAAUAUCUUCUGAUGCAUCAUCUGCUGCUUUUGGCUUUGAACUUACCAUGUAUUUGUUAUCAUCAUUGGUCAUCUUGGACAAAACUUCACAAGCUUACUGAAUGAUAUGUCCAAUUAAGAUUUCA